AACACACGAAAAAAUAAUUCACUAAGAGAAAAGAUUACAACGUGAUUACCGACUCCACGGACUCGACCUCUCUUAACCUUUUAUGAAUCUCGCGCAAUUCUCCGAAUUGUCCACGCCUUCACGUUCGAAUCCACGAACGCCACGUUCCGAAUCCAGGAAACGCCUCCACUUUGAAUCCACGAAGCUCACGAUCUGAAUCCACGAACCGCCGUCAAUCACGCCGAAUCCACGACGCCAUCACGAAGAACAUCAU
rnacentral:lncRNA from 1 species